ACCAGGUUGAAUUUAAUAAAAACGAGAACUAAAAAUACCUUUCUGUGUUUUAUUUUAAUUAAUUCAUAAUUUUAUAAUGAUGUUUUUUGUUUUGGUUUGUUUUUGUACGUAUGUGUGUUAAUUUCAAAACCUAAACCGGUCUAGGGGUUAUAAAUAGCUUGUUACUAUCAGACGCGCUCAGUCUGUAGUUAAAUGAUAAUCGCCUCCAUGGUGUUUACAUCCCUAACUGAAUUUAAGGCUCUGGGGCAGAAACUUUCCCGUCUUUCUCUCUCGGUGUUUUCUUGUUGCCAUGCGUGGAGCAAACAAAGCUGCGCCUCCUCUCCGCGUUUUCAUCCAUGCUUACGUCUGGGACCUCAGUUCCGCAUUCCUGCGCCUCCGGCUCAUAUAACCGGGCUGAUGCAACUGCCUCUGCUCAGUCCCAGAACCGACCGCCGCCCGUCCGCAGCCCCGUCCCGCUCACGUCUCCGUGGAUCCUGGACGCCCGGCAGCACUGAAACAAAAUUCGUCAUUGUCAGAGAGCGACUGACAACGUUUCUCUGAGUAAGUUUUAUGCUUUUCUAUCAAUUUUUACUGCACUUUUUGGUAGAAAGUUAUCAAUGUGAAUUAUGUCGACAGCUCAGCUGAUGAGCUCAGAUUUCCUGAUAUUUGGGAUUUUGUGCUGCAUAUGUGAUGAACUGAGUUGUGUUUUUCCGUUUUUCACACUUUCCUUUGAAAUGACUCCAGAAAUUAUUCGUUUUCCCUUUUCUGUUCAGAAAUAAGAAUAUGACAUUCCUCUGAGGUACUUUCACUGAUGGUAGCUGUGCAUCCAUGCUAGGUAGCUUUUGUCUUUAUGACCUCAAACGUUAAAGCCACUCAUGGAUUUGGAAACUCUGGGCAGAUUUGGCUUCUUUAACUUAAAAAGUUUUCCUCAACGCCCUUCAGCUGCUUUAGUAAAGACGUUCCAAGUAGGGUAUCCGCUAUUUGUGUGCUUUUUUUUCUUCUCGUGCUUCUUUGUGUCUGUGCGACUCUGAGUGACCAAGCAUUUAUAACAGAGGGUUGAAAUGCCCGGCGCCUGCCUGGACACAUCCGUGAGAUGGUUUCCGCCUUAGUGGAACUCUGCGGCAGAUUAAUGGGAAGAGGCUGGCGAGCCGACAGGUGACGCGGGCCGACCCUGCUCCGAGGCUGGACGUGGGCGCGCAGGGUUUAUUUUAAGUAGAAAUGCUUUCCAGUGUGUCUCUGGAGAAGGAGACCUGCCAAGGUGCCGCCCCAGCAAGCUGCACAGGCUGCAGACGUGCCGCAGGAGCCAACUAUGCAACAGCUCAAUUGCACUAAUAUGAAUGCUUGGGAGGGAAGCAUCAAUUGCAGCUGGGAUCACAUUAUCAGAAUCGCACUAUAAGUCUUUCCACAUGGUUUGCAAAAGGAGGGGAAGCAAAGGAGACAGCUUUCUCUGCUCCAAAACAUCCAUACAUUUCAUCAGGUCAAAAGUGGAAGAUUUGUUCAUGCAUCCUCUCUGUUCACCCCUCUAUCAUCCAUCCAUCCAUCCAUCCGUCCGUCCGUCCGUCCGUCCGUCCGUCCGUCCGUCCGUCCGUCCGUCCNNNNNNNNNNAUCCAUCCAUCCAUCCAUCUGUUAGCAGGAACAUGCUGUCAGGCUGCCGGUUCCAUCUCUUCUCUGCUGCAUGUUCUUGAUGAGGAAACAUCAGAGGACAAAGUCUGAAACGGCGCUGAACUGACAGGCCGCGGUUACAUAACGCUGCUGAUUGCUUCAGCAGGCCGCAUUAAAAGUCAUAUUCUGGCCACGCUUGGCCAACAUCGCGAUUGCACACCGCUUGCUUCAGAUUUUCUCUCCCAAAAAGACUCCAUA
rnacentral:lncRNA from 1 species